UACGGGGGGGAGCAAGCGUUGUUCGGAUUUACUGGGCGUAAAGGGCGCGUAGGCGGCCACCGCAAGUCGAUUGUGAAAUCUCCGGGCUUAACUCGGAAAGGUCAACCGAUACUGCGGGGCUAGAGUGCAGAAGGGGCAACUGGAAUUCUCGGUGUAGCGGUGAAAUGCGUAGAUAUCGAGAGGAACACCUGCGGCGAAGGCGGGUUGCUGGGCUGACACUGACGCUGAUGUGCGAAAGCUAGGGGAGCGAACGGG
rnacentral:rRNA from 1 species